rnacentral:tRNA from 1 species
AAAACUUUAAGUUAUAUAAACUAAUAAUCUUCAAAAUUAUAAAUAAAGAAAUUUUCUUUAAGUUUUA